rnacentral:rRNA from 1 species
UACGUAGGGUGCGAGCGUUGUCCGGAAUUAUUGGGCGUAAAGAGCUCGUAGGCGGUCUGUCGCGUCGAAUGUGAAAACCCGGGGCUCAACUCCGGGCUUGCAUUCGAUACGGGCAGGCUAGAGUUCGGUAGGGGAGUCUGGAAUUCCUGGUGUAGCGGUGAAAUGCGCUGAUAUCAGGAGGAACACCGGUGGCGAAGGCGGGACUCUGGGCCGAUACUGACGCUGAGGAGCGAAAGCGUGGGGAGCGAACAGG